ensembl:lncRNA
CUGGAGUCAGGUCAGGAACGCCUUAGACAUUUGCUGAUUGUCCUGUGGAUGAAGCAAAGCUCCAGAUAGGCAUGGAGAAAGGCAUUGGGCCCAGGCCCAGGGGGUGCUACCUCUGGCCCUAUUUGCCCAAAAGCCCACUGUCCACUGGUGGGCUUUCCCCAGCCUAGCCCAUCAGGAACAACUUCCUGAUGGUCUCAGGACGUGCUUACCCCAGGAAUUCUCAAAGGCAGUCUGCAGUCCUCAGAGGUAUUUUGUCUUCCCUCAUUUCUGUACUCUAGUAACACAGAAACAAGCAUCACUAGAGAAGGAAACCAUGGACUGGAAGCUCUUGUAAGUAUGUACACUAUCAAAUCACACACAACAAUAUGCCAAAAUCGUGAUGCCCAGCCAGGGUCUUUCCAAGAAUGCCAUGCUGGCUGAGAGAUAAUGGCUCGCCCCUCAGGAGCAGGUGCAGGCUGGCCCAGCAGCAGACUAAUGAACAAAAACCAUGUCAUCAUCCUGAUGGGCACAGAAAAGUCUUCCAAAAAGUUCGACAUUCAAGAUAAGAACUCUGAAAAUUAGGAAUAUACUAGCCUUCUUCAACCAAAGAAAGGUUAUUUGUAAAAUAAAACAAAACAAAUAAACAAAACAAAAAACCCAAAUAGGCAAACAAAGAGAUGGUGAGGGACUGAAAGAUUCCUCUAAAGGUUGGGUUGCCUCUUGCCCGCUUAUUGACUGAAAUUGUGAAACAAACAAACAGCAAGUAAC